rnacentral:lncRNA from 12 species
GCGAGAGGCCCCUUGGAGCAGCGGGUGACAGCAGCCAUUCGUCACGGGGGCAGGGGGGCCCGAGGAGUCUCCCCAGAGCUCCCUGCCUGCUGUGGAUAGCUCCAUUCCGUGCUGCUGUCAGUGGCAUUGCCAGGCUGUGCCAUGGCUGCGGUUUGUGUAUUCACAAUGAAUGUCACCACAGUGUCCAGGAGAAACCAAUACCUUGACAUCCCCAGCACCAAUGGGCCCAGUUCAAAUGGGCCAAGAGGCUUUUUGGGUAAACCAUACAGAACACCAGCAAAACUACAGAUCUGAAGUACAGAAGUAUUGGUGAUACCGAGAAGAGUUUAUUGAAAAAACACUAUUAUGACUACAGUUUCCACCUUUGUAAAGCUUUUUUAAUAUUAACAGAAAACAAUUGUAGGUUCAUCUGUUAGCAGGAAUAAAUUGAGAGUAUAAAUUACCCUGUUUCUCUCCUUUGAAAAUAUUUGUGCAUAAGUCCCAUGUGAUGGGCUACAUUUACAAAAGUAAAUAUGAAAAAAUAAUUAGUUCCGUCUUUUCGACACAGUUCACACUGUGUGAUGCUGCACAAAUGAAAAUAUUCCAGCAAAGAUUACAUCCAUC